rnacentral:rRNA from 1 species
GUACCCGCUGAACUUAAGCAUAUCAAUAAGCGGAGGAAAAGAAACCAACAGGGAUUGCCUCAGUAACGGCGAGUGAAGCGGCAACAGCUCAAAUUUGAAAUCCGGCCUCGGCCCGAGUUGUAAUUUGUAGAGGAAGAUUCCGGUGAGGUACCUGCUGAGUCUCCUGGAACGGAGCGCCGCAGAGGGUGAGAGCCCCGUAUAGCAGGACGCCAAGCCUUUGUGAAUCCCCUUCGACGAGUCGAGUAGUUUGGGAAUGCUGCUCAAAAUGGGAGGUAAAUUCCUUCUAAAGCUAAAUACUGGCCAGAGACCGAUAGCGCACAAGUAGAGUGAUCGAAAGAUGAAAAGCACUUUGAAAAGAGGGUUAAACAGCACGUGAAAUUGUUGAAAGGGAAGCGCUCGUGACCAGACUUGCGCCGGAGCGAUCAUCCGCUCUUCUGAGCGGUGCACUCGCCCCGGGGCAGGCCAGCAUCGGUUCCGGCGGGGGGACAACAGUUCAGGGAAUGUGGCUCGCCUCGGCGAGUGUUAUAGCCCGGUUCACAAUGCCCCCGCGGGGACCGAGGUUCGCGCGUCUGCAAGGAUGCUGGCGUAAUGGUCACCAGCGACCCGUCUUGAAACACGGACCAAGGAGUCAAGGUUUCGCGCGAGUGUCUGGGUGUCAAACCCGCACGCGUAAUGAAAGUGAACGUAGGUGAGAGCUUCGGCGCAUCAUCGACCGAUCCUGAUGUCUUCGGAUGGAUUUGAGUAGGAGCGUCAAGCCUUGGACCCGAAAGAUGGUGAACUAUGCUUGGAUAGGGUGAAGCCAGAGGAAACUCUGGUGGAGGCUCGCAGCGGUUCUGACGUGCAAAUCGAUCGUCAAAUCUGAGCAUGGGGGCGAAAGACUAAUCGAACCAUCUAGUAGCUGGUUACCGCCGAAGUUUCCCUCAGGAUAGCAGUGUUGUUCUUCAGUUUUAUGAGGUAAAGCGAAUGAUUAGGGACUCGGGGGCGCCAUAUUGCCUUCAUCCAUUCUCAAACUUUAAAUAUGUAAGAAGCCCUUGUUACUCAACUGAACGUGGGCGUUCGAAUGUACCAACACUAGUGGGCCAUUUUUGGUAAGCAGAACUGGCG